rnacentral:tRNA from 2 species
GCUGCGGUGGCGAAGAGGUAACGCGGCCGUCUGCAAAACGGCGAUACAGGGGUUCGAUUCCCCUCCGCAGCU